UACGUAGGGGGCAAGCGUUGUCCGGAAUUACUGGGCGUAAAGGGCUCGUAGGUGGCCAACUAAGUCAGACGUGAAAUCCCUCGGCUUAACCGGGGAACUGCGUCUGAUACUGGAUGGCUUGAGUUCGGGAGAGGGAUGCGGAAUUCCAGGUGUAGCGGUGAAAUGCGUAGAUAUCUGGAGGAACACCGGUGGCGAAGGCGGCAUCCUGGACCGACACUGACACUGAGGAGCGAAAGCCAGGGGAGCAAACGGG
rnacentral:rRNA from 1 species